rnacentral:rRNA from 1 species
AUAUAAAAUGACUCUCGGCAACGGAUAUCUCGGCUCUUGCAUCGAUGAAGAACGUAGCGAAAUGCGAUACUUGGUGUGAAUUGCAGAAUCCCGUGAACCAUCGAGUCUUUGAACGCAAGUUGCGCCCGAAGCCAUUAGGCCGAGGGCACGCCUGCCUGGGUGUCACAC